GGGCGGUUAGCUCAGUUGGUUAGAGCGCCGGUCUCACAUACCGGAGGUCGGAGGUUCAAUUCCUCUACCGCCUA
rnacentral:tRNA from 1 species